rnacentral:rRNA from 1 species
AUGUCAGCGCUGUUUGCUUGGCUCUGGACAUGGAAUCCGGAUCAGAUUCCCCGAGCCUCAGACUUCAAUGUGAUCCAUCGUCCUGAUAUUGUUUGCCCACGGGACUCGUUGCCGGAGGGGGUGCCGGCGGAGGAGGGGAAGGAAGGCCCCCACUUCCCGGUCCUCAUCCACUUGGACGUCGUCAAGGAUUACACGCCACUGCCACCAUCCGCGAGCCCAGCCGAGGAAUGGCCUCGCACAUACACACACAAGGGCUGGAGGAUGGGUGUGAAGGAUGGAGAGGGCAGAACCAGAGCUGCCUCGACGGCCAGCCCCUACAACGCUGGCCGGCGCAGCGACGACGACCAUGACGACGGAUUCGGUGGUGGCCGCAGGAAGAGGGGUAAGCGAGGAGGUGCGCGCAGAAGCUUCUGGCAGGGGGUGCGGGACCAGGCACAAUGCAGGGAUACUGCUGCCUAUGAUCCGGCUCCCCGUGGCCGGCGCCGCCAUGUUGAGGGCAUGGCUCCUUCCCAGGUCGCCAUUUGUCUCCCGUUAGAGGUGCGGACCCAGGCCCCGGCUGAUUCCCAACGCCGGCAAAGCCCGACAGCACAAGACAGGGUGUAUGUCACCCCAUCGCUGCAGGUGGUCCAGGGAGAGCGCGGCUCCGGUUCUAGGGAACAGGCCGACCAGCAGCAGCUCACAGAUGAGGAGAUCAAUGACGCAGAGCAGCCAAACCCUGACCAGCAGCAACGCUCGGAUGAGGAGCUCAGUGACGCCCAUAGUCUGCCUGCUUUGUCGGCUGGACAGGUUUUGCCACCUCAGGAGCUCACGGACCGUGCACGGAGGCUCUUUGUCCUUGUGAUGGAGAAGGAGGCUGGGGGCAUACAAGACUGGGGCCUUGCACCCACCCCUGGUGGUCUGAUGCAGCUCUUCUCCCCACCCCGGCAGAAGCAGCUCGCCCCUUGGGCCAGCAAUGUGGUUACUGAUGCAGCCUCCAUUACCGCAGCGGGGGUGACCUCCUUCUUCCAGCAACGUACCAGCUAUGAGUUGCCUCCCAUCCCGCCUUCUUUGGACGUUUGCAACCUCUCUGCAUGGGAUCUGCCUCCCCCAGGGCCGCCAGCGAUGGCCUGGGACCUGCCUAUUUUUUCCCAGAAUCCGUGCUGGCUACCAAGCUGGGCAGAGAUGCCUAUGACGAACCCAAGCUGGGCCUCUGGACCUGAGGUGGUGUUUGGGCCAGGGAUUCAGGCUUCACAGCAGGACCAUCCCCCUCCUGGACUGGACUGCGCUGAUAGACACAGGGAUGCGGGAUCAUUUGGCCAACAAUCCAUCGAGGAGCAGCGAGCGAGACGAGCACUGGCGGAGGCAAACCUCUCUGGUCCAGGCUUGGUUUCAGCGAUCACGGCAAGGAUGGCUGCCUUACACCUGGAUGAGCAGAGGCAGUUCAUUGGAAAAAUUGCUGCCCUCUUGUCCUCCUCCAUCCUAGGCCCCCCUCCAGUUUCUGCUCCCUCACCUCGCAAGCUGAAGAACCGCCUACUGGGGGUGGUCAGGGCCUCGCGGCAGAGUUCCAGGCUCCAGAGGAUGAACUCCACCCUAUCUUCUUCAAGAAGGUCCCAAGCAACGAUCAGCGUCAAGCUGGGUUUCAUCGAACGCCCUGAAGAUUUCAACGAUGACACUCUACUGGCGUACCUUCAGUUCUUCCGCGCGCCCAUGCCACCAGAGAACGUCACCAAGCUGGCGGAGAUCGCCGGCUUGACGUCCCCAUCUCAGCUACAGCUUCCGGACGCCGAGCUGCAAGCGAUCCUGGAGGAGCUCGCAGGCCAGGCUGCUUGA